AGAGUGGGUUGAGUGGUCGCUGUCGUUUCUACUUCGGUAUGAAUACGGCAGAGGAAAGUCCGGGCUCCGCAGAACACGGUGGUGGGUAACACCCACCGUCCGCGAGGACCGGGAAAGUGCAACAGAAAGUAAACCGCCGAUGUCUGCAUUGCAGGCAGGUAAGGGUGAAAUGGUGCGGUAAGAGCGCACCGCGGAGUUGGUGACAACUCUGGCACGGUAAACCCCGCUGGGAGCAAGUCCAAGCAGGGCGAAGUACUGAAGGGUGACUUUCAGUACACGUGGCUGUUCGCUGCGUUUGACGUCCGGGUCGGAUGCGUCGAGGUGCUUGAGCAAUCAGCACCCCAGAGAAAUGACCACUCCCGACAGAACCCGGCUUACAGACCCACUCUGGAU
rnacentral:RNase_P_RNA from 1 species